UAAGGAAUAUUGGUCAAUGGAGGGAACUCUGAACCAGCCAUGCCGCGUGCAGGAUGACUGCCCUAUGGGUUGUAAACUGCUUUUGUCAGGGAAUAAACCUUUCCACGUGUGGGAAGCUGAAUGUACCUGAAGAAUAAGGAUCGGCUAACUCCGUGCCAGCAGCCGCGGUAAUACGGAGGAUCCAAGCGUUAUCCGGAUUUAUUGGGUUUAAAGGGUGCGUAGGCGGUCCUAUAAGUCAGUGGUGAAAGACGGCAGCUUAACUGUCGCAGUGCCUUUGAUACUGUAGGACUUGAAUCUAUUUGAAGUGGGCGGAAUAAGACAAGUAGCGGUGAAAUGCAUAGAUAUGUCUUAGAACUCCGAUUGCGAAGGCAGCUCACUAAGUUAGUAUUGACGCUGAUGCACGAAAGCGUGGGGAUCAAACA
rnacentral:rRNA from 1 species